CUUUAUCUGAAAAAAACAAACAAAUAAGACAAGUAGAUACAGAAGACGAAUUUUUAAAAUUUGCAGUUUAUAAACACCACCAUAUAUAGUUCUUGGAUUAAGUGAAAAAUGCUAUCUGAAAUAAUAGGCUAUUUAGAUAUGAAAGAUAGUGUUGCAUAAUAAAACCUGAGGUAUGUGGCUCAUUUGAAUAAAUAAACAUUCAAGCAGAAAAGUAACCCAAAAUUAACACUGGAAACGUAUUACAUAAAUCAAUUUGUUUAUUCAAUGAAUUUGAAUGAAUUACUUAAAAAGAAAAAUUAAUGAGCUAAACAGAAAGUGGACUUUAUCUAAAAGUGGUUUGAAACAACUUGUAAUAUAGACUAGAUUUGCCAGUUAUGAUUGAGAUAAAUAAGAGAAAUGACAUAAAUGCAUCAGUGCAAUUGGGAACAUGGAAAUUUUACAGGCAUUUUUAAUAGUAUGAAAUGUUUUGUUUAGUAUUUCAAGUAAAUUUUAAACAUCUAUGGUAAACUUCAUUUUACAGGAAUAUGUAAAUAUGUAAAUGUUUCUAGUUGGUUCACUGAGGCAUAGAAAAUUUGAAUGAAGCCAAACCUGAAGCUAUAGAAAGUCUGAAUGAAGCCAAAAUGUGAAAACUUUACUCCACAAGGAAGAAUCCAUGCCAGUGAUAAGCUUAAUGAAAUGUGUGGGAACACCUUUACAUUUUGCACAAAUCAUAUGAAACAUCAGAGAAAUUUCACUGGAAAGAAAUGCAGAGAAUAUAAGGAAUGUGGCAGAGACUUUGAUCAUAACUUUCAGUUAACUCAGUAUCAGAUAAAUGGAGCUUCGGGUAUGGCAUGAUCAAGAUGUUCACUAUGUCAUCAGGUUUUAACACUGAACGCUCAGCUCUCCCUUUGCCAGUGUUUUGGCUUUGACUUGAGGCUAAUUUCCUCAUGACUGCAUCAGUUCCAGGCCUCCUAUCUGGACAUAUCCCUUUCAGUACAAGAGAGCACCUUUGCCUAGCAUUCCAAAAUAAACCUCUGAGAUUCACUUUGACUGGGUCAAGUUAAUUGAUAUGCCCAAUCGUAAACUAAGAGCUUCAGCGUGCAAGGAGCCCUCCCUACAUGGAGGCACACACAGUCCCACAUCUUUUGAGCUCCAGAGGUCAAAGCUCUGAGUGUGGCUGGGACCUGCUUCCCUUCUCUCUCAUCAUCUUGGGUCCAGUUAACCAUCACCAACCACCUGGGAAAUGGAAAAAAUGGGACCUCAUGGCCAAAGAGGCUGUUCACUGCUUAUGGCACCCCUACAACUGGACCGGAGACUCUUGCCAGGGCUGGCACGUACAGGUACAAGCCACACUUACACUCCAUUUAUGACUCAAUAAUGACUUCACUUCGAUCUCAUAGUGAAAUUCCCAACUGCUUCCACAGCACCAAGUCCCCAGCACAGGCAACACCUCCCCUGGAGAAGUCCCAGCCAACGAGCUCUGCCAUUCUUCUCCCUGCAAUUCUGCCCUGAAAAUGUCUGGGCCUCAGUUCUGUGAAAUAGGCAGGGCAAUUUCUGCCCUACUCUGUAGCCACUUGAGAAAUCAAGUCAAAGAAUUUACUCACAUACUGACAUCCUGCAAGGGGUCACAGCAGUCCUGGGACGGAUCACUGUAGAAGAAACCAGCACUCACAGACCAGGACUCUGUUUAUGAGUUCACUCAGAGAUCUAACUGCCCCAUCUCCUACUCCAAGAGAAGGCUUAUCAUUGGUCCUGCAUCACGUACCUUGCAUGGAAAUUCUGUCUGUCUUCAAAGGCAACCCUGCAGUAAUUGAAGCAAAGCAGAUGUCUAUUGCAUCAGAGUGACCCAGUACCAGGCCACAUCCCAUUGACUAGCAAUGCCCAGCUGACCAUGGGGCUUCUGGAAUGGAAAAUUCAUGGAAUAGGACAGUACAUCAGAUUCCUGUCAAGAUCCCUCUCCAUAUACUUACUAAUAAUUUUAUAGUUGGUGAAAAGUGAGCAGGGAACAUCCCAGAGAGGUGAGGGUGAGAUAGACUACAGAAGCAGCCCAGACACUAUCAGUGAACACCUCCAGUCCCAUCUGUCCAUCAAGGGGGCAGUGGGCAGCUGUGUCUCUCCUUUAGGAGCCAAGUGGAACAGCGAAGGGUCAGCAGCCAACAGAACCCGGUGGACAAUGGGAUCUUCUCUAUGGUUGCAUUCAAGUGCUGGAAACAUCAUUUCUUUGAAGACAUC